CGCCAGACUCCUACGGGAGGCAGCAGUGGGGAAUAUUGCACAAUGGGGGAAACCCUGAUGCAGCAACGCCGCGUGAGUGAAGAAGUAUUUCGGUAUGUAAAGCUCUAUCAGCAGGGAGGAAGAAGGACGGUACCUGACUAAGAAGCCCCGGCUAACUACGUGCCAGCAGCCGCGGUAAUACGUAGGGGGCAAGCGUUAUCCGGAUUUACUGGGUGUAAAGGGAGCGUAGACGGCAGUGCAAGUCUGAAGUGAAAGCCCCGGGCUUAACCCGGGAAUUGCUUUGGAAACUGUACGGCUGGAGUGCUGGAGAGGUAAGCGGAAUUCCUAGUGUAGCGGUGAAAUGCGUAGAUAUUAGGAGGAACACCAGUGGCGAAGGCGGCUUACUGGACAGUAACUGACGUUGAGGCUCGAAAGCGUGGGGAGCAAACAGGAUUAGAUACCCUAGUA
rnacentral:rRNA from 1 species